CGGAUAGAGCUAGCGAAGUCGCUCGUAUUCAGCCAAAAGUCUGGGGUUGCCUGUCGUCGUGUUUCUAAUCGAGCACGGCGGUUUGUCUUCUCUGGAUUGAGGUGCAUUUGCGGGCGUUUGCGCUGAGACUUGCGAGGCAGCUGCGGGACCGGCGUUUAGAGGCUUCCCAUUGGGUUGAACCUGGGCGCCGUUACAGCUGUUUGCCUUGCUCGUACUGGUCUGGCCUACGGACCCUGCUCGUGCUGUUGUCAACUGGCCAAGGCAUCGCAUGCGAUGUCUAGCCUGGGGGCUGCAGCGCGGGUUGGUGUCCCCGGAUCGCCUCUCGGUGUAGAAGCUGGUCAUCUCUCCGACCCGUCUUGAAACACGGACCAAGGAGUUUAGCGUAUGCGCGAGUCAUUGGGUGUUAAAACUCACAGGCGCAAUGAAAGUGAAAGCUCGGUCGCCGGGCUGACAUGCGAGUGCCGCGGCUUCGGCCCAGGCAUGCAGCAUGGUCCCAUUGCAAUCGUUUACGAUACAGUGGAGACAGAGCGUAUGCGCUGAG
rnacentral:rRNA from 1 species